UUUUAGUGUUAUAUGAAUAAUUAUCACAGCCCUCGAUUGAACUAAAUAAAUAACCAAACUUUGAUGUCCAAAUAUGAUUUAAGUCAAAAUCUUAAAUUGAGAAAUAACCCAGUAUUUUAUUUUAUUUUAUUAUUUACUUUGAGAACGAACUUGCAUAAGAUUGGACUUCCUGUAUCAGCGUACGUCCUCAAACCUGCUUUUAACUACUAAUAAAUAUUGGGCUUCUUUCAAGCCAAACUGGACCCAUAAAAAGGCCCACCCCCCCCCCCCCCCAAAAAAGAAAAAUGAGGUAAUUAACAUCCUGGUCCACAGCUUAUGGAAAAAUCAUAGUUUUCCAUAAGAAUAUUCUCAACUUUGAUGAUGCUUUGACUCCAUUACCGAUUCACUGACAAAAUCACUCCCUAGAACCAUUGUUACAUUCCGCAAAAGUUUGAUGCAACGAUUUCUUCUUGAAUUACAUUAGAGUCUAUUCAUAUUUAGAAUUAAAAAUUUACUCAAACUUUUUAAUUAUUGGUUAUAAUACAAUCUGAAUAUCUAGGCCUAGAAUCAAAAUUUACUUUUUAAAUAUUUAAAAAAAAUCAAUCUAUAUAAUAUAUAAGGAAUGACUUAAAUUCUCGAACUCAAGAACAUGUCGAGAGUGUGCUUAAGGAGUGAAUUGUCGAGAGGGCACAACAUUCAAAUUAGUUAUUAAUAAUAUUUUAAUGACAAUCAAUUGUAGAAAGGAUGACAAUUAAUUGUAUGUAUUUUCAUAUAAACAUUUUAUUAUAUCUCAAAUUUAAAGCGGGACGAGACCAAGAUAUAAAACAAUUCUACUAUAUUUUGCCAGAUGGUAGGGAGACAAAUGCAAAGUCUCAUCCAAUUAUAUUAAAGUUUCAAUUUCACCUAUUUACAGUUUCAAAAUUCAAAAUGACACCUAAGCAAUCACAGUUUCACUUAUUUUGGAGCAUAAAUCUUAAUUACUAAUAUGCUAAAACUCAUUCACGAGUCGGUUGAUUUGGAAAAACAAAACGAGAUGGGACAAUUAGCAGGACAAGAGGGGGAUGCUUUUUCCAUUUCAAAGAAAAAAUCAAGAUUAAUAUGAACUAUCAUCUUAUCCCAAUUAAGUAAAUGGAAUUUCAAAAUAAAAGUUACCAUAUUCUUUUAAAAACCAAGAAUGAACAUAAAGUGGGAUCCACCUAUGUUGCAACAGUUGCAACAUACCACACUUUUUGUCUCUAUUCUAAAAUAUCGUUGGAUGUAAACUAAAUGAAUCUAACGGUUGAAAUUAAAAAGUAGGUAAAGGUCAGUGGCCGGUUGUUGAAAGAAAUUAUAAAAAAAUUGUUAAAUAAAAAUAUGUUGAACAAGGGUCCAGGAAUAAUACUGGUUUUGACUUUGUUUUGAGAGUCCGUCGUCGAAAAUUUUUUCACACCCCAGAAUUUUAGAUCAUCAAAAUAUUUUCAACGCCCAGAAAUUGCGAUCAAUUUCCCGUAGAAAUAGAUAUCGUCAAGUUUCAAUUUUAAGUGUCUCCCAUAAAGUCAAAAAUUCCAGUCGGUAAAAUCCAAGGCGGAUACAUGACUCUGGCAACCAACUGGAAAAGAUGUUGGGUGGUGGUGCAAGUUUAGGAUACAUGACUUCCAUAUACCUCUUCUUCUAACAAAUUAAACAAUGAUUCCCUGUGAUAACAUUAUCA
rnacentral:lncRNA from 1 species